rnacentral:rRNA from 1 species
AGUUUGAUCCUGGCUCAGGAUGAACGCUAGCUACAGGCUUAACACAUGCAAGUCGAGGGGCAGCAUUGGAGUAGCAAUACUUCAGAUGGCGACCGGCGCACGGGUGAGUAACACGUAUCCAACCUGCCGCUUACUCGGGGAUAGCCUUUCGAAAGAAAGAUUAAUACCCGAUGGUAUAAAGAGUUCGCAUGUUCUCUUUAUUAAAGAAUUUCGGUAAGCGAUGGGGAUGCGUUCCAUUAGAUAGUUGGCGGGGUAACGGCCCACCAAGUCUACGAUGGAUAGGGGUUCUGAGAGGAAGGUCCCCCACAUUGGAACUGAGACACGGUCCAAACUCCUACGGGAGGCAGCAGUGAGGAAUAUUGGUCAAUGGACGAGAGUCUGAACCAGCCAAGUAGCGUGAAGGAUGACUGCCCUAUGGGUUGUAAACUUCUUUUAUAAGGGAAUAAAGUGAGGGACGUGUCCCUUUUUGUAUGUACCUUAUGAAUAAGGAUCGGCUAACUCCGUGCCAGCAGCCGCGGUAAUACGGAGGAUCCAAGCGUUAUCCGGAUUUAUUGGGUUUAAAGGGAGCGUAGGUUGACAUAUAAGUCAGCUGUGAAAGUUUACGGCUCAACCGUGAAAUUGCAGUUGAUACUGUAUGUCUUGAGUGUACAAGAGGUGGGCGGAAUUCGUGGUGUAGCGGUGAAAUGCUUAGAUAUCACGAAGAACUCCAAUUGCGAAGGCAGCUCACUGGGGUACAACUGACACUGAGGCUCGAAAGUGUGGGUAUCAAACAGGAUUAGAUACCCUGGUAGUCCACACAGUAAACGAUGAAUACUCGCUGUUUGCGAUAUACAGUAAGCGGCCAAGCGAAAGCAUUAAGUAUUCCACCUGGGGAGUACGCCGGCAACGGUGAAACUCAAAGGAAUUGACGGGGGCCCGCACAAGCGGAGGAACAUGUGGUUUAAUUCGAUGAUACGCGAGGAACCUUACCCGGGCUUGAAUUGCAGAGGAACAUAGUUGAAAGAUUAUGGCCGCAAGGUCUCUGUGAAGGUGCUGCAUGGUUGUCGUCAGCUCGUGCCGUGAGGUGUCGGCUUAAGUGCCAUAACGAGCGCAACCCUUAUCAUUAGUUACUAACAGGUCAUGCUGAG